rnacentral:lncRNA from 1 species
AGCAGGGCCAUGGCCAAAAACAAAAGCGUUGAGAGUGUCUGACCAAAAGUAAGAUGCAGCUAUCAGCAAUGACUCGUUCCUGUGCAUAUCGGCAAUGGACAGCCUAAUGCAUUGAGCUAAUUUCCUCUCACCCCAUUGAACUUCAUAAGAGUUGCUGACCCUCAAGAACCAGUCUUUCCACCCUACGGUAGGGCUGGGCCAAGAGCGAAAGGUGUCUUUCCAUAGAUCUAAAGCAAAGUUUUCAGCUCUAAAGGGAAUCCUGUUGGUUUCUGCAUUGAUAAGGUCGGUUGGAUCUGGAUCCCCUAGAGGGCCGAGGCAUUGAAGAUGUGGU